AAUUGACUUAGCUGGGAAGUGGGGAACCCUUCCAUGAGGAGUAGAACACUCCUUAUGCAAGAUUCCCUUCUACCUGACUGAGUUGA
ensembl:miRNA Mir491 microRNA 491